UUUUUCCGCUGGAUUUAGCGGAGAAAUUUUUCCGCUGGAUUUAGCGGAGAAAUUUUUCCGCUGGAUUUAGCGGAGAAA
rnacentral:pre_miRNA from 1 species